CGAGGUAUAGCUAAAAAGUUUAGUGUUUCACUUACGUUGAAAAGAUUAAUCGUGCAAAUCGAUUUACCUUGA
rnacentral:tRNA from 1 species